UACGUAGGGUGCGAGCGUUAAUCGGAAUUACUGGGCGUAAAGCGUGCGCAGGCGGUUUUAUAAGCCAGAUGUGAAAGCCCCGGGCUCAACCUGGGAAUGGCAUUUGGGACUGUAAGGCUGGAGUAUGGCAGAGGAGACUAGAAUUCCUGGUGUAGCAGUGAAAUGCGUAGAUAUCAGGAGGAAUACCGACUGGCGAAGGCAGGUCUCUGGGCCAAUACUGACGCUCAUGCACGAAAGCGUGGGGAGCAAACA
rnacentral:rRNA from 1 species